rnacentral:tRNA from 1 species
AGUUCAGUCGGUUAGAACAACAGCCAAACGCGCAGGUUCGAUUCCUGCCCUUG